AAAUCUCUCAAAGUCAAAGGGAGAUUGGAGUUUAGCCCCUUUUGGAACUUGCUGAUAGCUCGCUGUAUUGGUAGCACAAAAUAUCAGUUAUUUCAAAAUUUUAUUUUGAUAUGAUGCCAUCUGGUGUACAUAAAUUAUUAAUUAUUUAUGCUUAUUGCAUUAUCUUUAUCCCAUUAAAUUUUGAAGUUUGAGUAUUUGUUAUAUAAGCCAUGAUUAUUAAAAAAAUGAAUAUAUAAAUUUAUGAUGUUAGAUGCUCAGAUCUAUAUUUCUCUUUAUAUCCACUGGAAAGUCCAAGAAAAUUAAUGUUAUGCAACAAGAUUGGGAUUUUAAGUUUUAGUUUAGGUAUUUUGGCAUAUUUCGUAGUAUAUUAGUCGAAUACUAAUAUACUUCGACAGAAACAUGACUAAUAGCUUAGGUUGGUAAAGAUAACAUUCCAUAAAUCAUUUAUGAUUGCAGAUUAAGGGGAUUUAAAGUUCUCAGAAUGUGCUCCGUUUUCACUUAGCUGUAAAAAUCCAAGACAUCAUUCUUUGUGAAAGUCGUAAGUAAAAAGAAGGGGAAGCUAACUAACUUCUUAUUUAAGAAAAGUAGUUGAUGUGUGUCCUUGAAAUUUAUAGUAAUAACAUUCCUACACAUACUUUUAUAUCAACAUUUCCAGAAAUUUCUAUCUCAAAUACCACAAUAAAUUUGUCCACUGUGGGUGGCAAACACCAGUAGAAACAGACCUACGCACUACAUCUGUGGGAAUUUCCAUUCCAAAAUGAUCAGUCUGAAAUAUGCAGCCAUUGCUUUUCCUUCCUUCCAUCAUGCCAUCUUGUUUGCAAAGUAAAAGUCAAUUGCCACUUUGUGGUGAAAACUUGCAAAAAUACAUUAUGGACAUGAAGUGUGGAGGACUUUAAUGAAAUUAGCCCUUUCUCCUUUGUGUGACUGUCACCAACAAUGUUGUCUAGAGCUGGUUCACAUUCAGAUCAGCAACCCUCAAUACAGUAUAGUGCUGAUUGCUGCAUACCGUUCAUUGGAAAAAGUGUGUAUUUCAGAUAUGCUUUUUAAUGUCUACAUUUCCUCACCCAAAGAAGAAAAAGAUAUGUGAAUAUCCAGUGGACACUUUAUAGGAAAUGUUUUAAACCACAUCCAGACAUGCCUUGAAAGUCAGUGGAAUUCCCUAAGAUCUCAGGGUUUCUGGGAUGAUUUAUCAUCAGUGGUGACAUUAACACUCAGGUUUUCCUCUCUAAUUGCCAUUUUUUCUUAUUUCCAUCGUGAAAAUCUUUCUUUGUUGAAAGAGAAAGAUCAUCUUCAGUAACUGACAUAAAUUUUGAAAGAUCAAGCAUAUUGAAGUCUCUGGCACAGGAUAAAAAAGAAAUCCAGAUAAGUUACACAAGAUAAUUAGCACAAGAUUGUCAGUUUUAAAGCUGUACACAACAUGAACUCAGAACUUCUUUUUUAAGAAGAAAAACAUUUGAAUUAGUAUACUCUGUUGCAGCCAAUAGCUAUAUCUUAUUAAAUAUGUCCUGACAGUCCACUAGCUCUGUCCUAAAAAUGCAUUAGUUCAGCAAUUCAUAAUAGAGCCAGACCUAAAUGGAUAUCAGAAUUCUAUACAGACACGUAGAGAAUGUUUGAAUGUUGUUCAUCUUGGCCAUGUGGCAGUUAAAUGUUUGUCAAUAUUCUUUGAGGUUUUGCAUAUCACAGAUUUCUUUCCCCUAUCGAGGGCCAAAAUAUUGUGCAAGAGAAUAAUGCUAUAAAUGGGAUCAUUUUCAUAUAGGCAACUAAUUAGAGGUAAUCCCAUAAUUUACAAACAAAGAAAAGUUAAGAAUAUUUUUCAUAUUCAUAAUGUUUCUCAUCAAAAUGUUAUUCAUUAUAUCUUUCAUUACACAUCGUAUGUAUUUAAUUUCACAAAUUAAAAAGGCAUCUGAAAUGCAGUAUAUUUUUGUGUGUGUAGCUUUGCUUUUGUUCUUUUCUUUUAUUGGAAAUGCAGCCUUGCAACAUGUGCAUGAUUGUAGAUUUACAUAGUGUAAAAUUACUGUAAUUUUAUUUGUUCACUUCAGGAAGUCAGAAAGGGAUUUAAUACAUAGGAAAGAUUAAAUUAGGAACUAGUAUAAGGCAGAGUGUAUAUAUUUUGCAUUUUUAAAUAACCUUUUGUAACAAGAGAACCUAUUAUCGUACAGUAUACUAUAAUUCCACUUUCUAGUGAUACUCUUGCUAAUCGUCACAGUGUUGUCUUUGCAUAUUGAUAUGAAUAGUUUGUAUAUGUACACACUUCAAAAGUUAUUUCUAUAAUGGAAUAUGUGCUCCCUGUCAUUGUUAUUAACAUCCAACUGGAAAAAUAUUCACCAAUUAUUUUUUUUAUAAAUUAUGAAUGUACAGUGUAAAUUAGUAAAUCAAAUAUUGUAGCAAUGAAGAGAUGUACUUUAAAAAUGUAGAAGUGUUUAUCUCAAAGAGUGUUAUUUUGUAUAGAUGUUUUUGAAUAAAUAAUUUAUUGCUCAUC
ensembl:lncRNA